CACUUCUUUGUGGUUUUUCGGCUGCUCCAGACUUCUUGGCUCCUGCAGGCCACCUGGACGGAUAUGUGCAGGUCACAGGGGUUACAAUGGCUAAGCUUCAGCUCACAGGCCUGACAUUUUUGUCUUUUUAUUUAUAAAAUAUGAAGUUGUAGGAAAAGAUUAAAAAAAAGUGUAAGUUCCUUCUGGGGAUUACUGGGGUAGGGCUGAUAUUUCUCCGGACUGCUUCAAGUGUGACCAGGGACUGCGUGGACACCUUAAAGAAAAUUUUAUAAUGAGUCUUCAGGCAUAUUAGCUUUAAUGUAGGUGGCGAUGAGUUUUUAGGCCAAGGAAGGAAUAAUGUUUUAUGUACCAAAGCCUUUUGUCCCCAUUUUCCAUCAUACGAAUAGUAUUCCCUGUUGCUAAGCCGAUGAUACAUUACCCUUUUCCCAUAGGUGUGAGUGGCGGUCUGAAUGGAGAAGUUCAAUAGUUCUGAUUGCAGAUCCUAUGCAGAAGAGAUAAUAAGGAAAAUAAUCUUUGUCUCCUGGAUUAAGCUGAGGCUGGCAAAGAGUGAAAUGUCCCAAGCCCUCUAACAACAAACAACAUACUUUGUGUUGUCCUGGAUGCUGGUCUGGUUGCCAAAUAUGUGGAACUGGCCCCAUAUGCGUGUACUGUUGUCCAUUUCAUGAGAGUAGGCUUGAGGACACCAUGGGCAAGGAUCUGAUGGUUGCCAGCCUAAGCGUUUUAGACUUUUGACCCAGAGAUUUUUUGUUUUGGGUGUGGAAAAAAUUUUAGAGGAUAGGGUCUCAAGAUAUAAUCCUUUUUAUAGGCGGCAGGUCUUAAGAGAUGAGGGUCCAGAGGAACGGAUGAAGCCUGCUUGGAAGCAUGCUGGGAUGGCCAUUUGGAAGGAGUGUUGCAAGGAAGCAUGGCCUUGGCUGGGCGCUGCCAGGAGCUUAAGGGUUGUAGGUUGUUUGUCUGAUCGGCUCUCGGCCUAAUCUUGUGGCUUCCAGGAGGAAGAGGAGAGAUCAAGCUGGCUGUCUGAUGGGCAUGGCUUUAUUCUGGAAUGGUGAACCCAAUGGAGAGGGUCCUGCAGAUGGACGGCAGUUGGUGUGCUAUAAAUGACCGGGUAGGGUCUGGUCCAUUGAGGCUGUAGAGUUUGAGGGGUCAGACUUUUGACAAGGACUGAUCGUCCAGCUAGGGUGUCUUCAUAUGGCUGGGAAUCUGGAGUAGGCAAGAGAAGAUUAGCAGCUUGGCAAAUUUCCUGUCUAGCCUGCUAGAGGACUGGAAGAUAGUUGCCCAGGGGGCUGGUGUCUGGAACAAGAUUGUGGCUGAGUAAGAAGGUGCAUCCAUAUAAAAUUGAAAUGGGUUGUAGGAUGGAGAAAUCAAAAGUGCCGUUUUCUGGCCACUUGGAACCAUUGUCAAGUUUAUAUUGCGGCCAAGCAGUAUUGCAGAAGAAAAUAAGACGUUUGAGUUUUAUAUCAGGUGUUAGUUUAAGAGAAGUUUUUAAGUACACAGGCUAAGGGGGAAGAGGGAGGAAUGGAGGGCGGAAGAUUGCCCAAAGUGAAGGAGGUAAGUUUAAAGAGAGAAGUAGAGACACGGAGAAGGGCGGGGGUGAGCAGCCAAAGCAGGCGUCCCCGCAAAUGACUUGCCACCAUGGGAAUGUGGGUGAAUGACCAAGGCAGGCAUCCCCAAGGUGAUCAGACACCAGUGGAAUGUGGGUGAAUAAUUAGGCAGGCGUCCCCGCAGUGAUUAGACACCAAGGGAAGACUGUCUUCCUGAGUCUGUGACCAGCGCCAGAGUUUUGGGUCCACGGAUAAAAUGUGUCUCCUUUGUCUCUACUAGAGAAGAAAAAGACUGGACAGGGAGAUUGGAGGGUAGCGACAGAGGCUGGACAGAUGCUGCUAUUGAAGGGAAAAGACUGGAAUGAUCCCUGUCCUUUGAAUCCUCUUAGCCUAGUGAAGGGAGAAAACUAUGGCUAAGGACAGGAAAACCACCUUCACUGAGAGUGAGAACUUGUGACGGUGAAUAACUCUUCUCUUUCCUGGUACCUGGACUUCAGAGAUUAAUACAAAACCCUGUGGGUCAGGACUUGGCAACACCAAGAAGCAUUCAAAUAUAAUGAUUUAUUCAACUGUGUAUUGUCAUGGAAAUAAUAAUUAAAUGGCACAUCGGAAAGAAAUGGGGAGAUAAGAACAUUGAAG
rnacentral:lncRNA from 1 species